rnacentral:rRNA from 1 species
UACAGAGGUCCCAAGCGUUGUUCGGAUUCAUUGGGCGUAAAGGGUGUGUAGGUGGCGCCGUAAGUCGGGUGUGAAAUCUCGGGGCUUAACUCCGAAACUGCAUUCGAUACUGUGGUGCUUGAGGACUGGAGAGGAGACUGGAAUUCCUGGUGUAGCGGUGAAAUGCGCAGAUAUCAGGAGGAACACCGGUGGCGAAGGCGGGUCUCUGGGCCGAUACUGACGCUGAGGAGCGAAAGCGUGGGGAGCGAACAGG